GGUAGUUGUGAACUGUGUUGUGAAUAAAGUCUUUGCUGGUAGAGAUUUUUAUAAAACUCGUACAGGAUGCGCGUAAAUUUUGUCUUGUGUUUCUUUAUAAUUGGAAUGUGUCUUUUAUGGAGCAGUGAUGCAGACGCAUGGGAACCAAGAAAACAAUGGCUAAAGAAAAAAGAUGAAACACAAGCAAAGAGAGUUUGGAAGAAAGACCAAUUGGAUUCAUGGGAAUCAAAAAAGCAAUGGCGGCUACAGAAAGAAGAUGAAACACAAGCGAAGAGAGGUUUGUGAAAACAUACAUGAUACUGUUGGAUCUAUUUUCAAGCUGAAAGGAUAACGGAAAACGACUUCAGUUUUUUUUCUAAGUUUACUUUCAGUGACAGUACUUGUUUAUCUUCGUGUUAAGCAUUUAUGUCUCGUAUCGGCGCUUUCAUACUUUGUUUUGUCGUGAUGUCGCUUUUGAAGGGCGCCAAUACGCAGUAACGACAAACGAUAAAACAGUGCGACAAAACGAGAAUUCAUUUUUGUUGUCGUUAGUUCGUUCUUUCGUGUUAACGCUCCUUAAACCGUGACAGAACGAGGUAACGACAUGGCAGAAAUCAGCCACCAUACCGAUACCAUUUCAAUAAACGUUUUAUUAUCUAUGUAUUAUAAGGAUAUGGAAUUCCUUAACUUCUACCAUUUUUGAAGCUUUGAACUUUUAAACUGAAUCAAAAGUUUACAUAUUCCUCUCUUAGUUUUGUUUUUAACAAUAUAUUCUUCCUUAAAAUCUUUGAAUUGUUAAUUAACGAUGUAGAAGAUGGCAGCAUAAUAUGUUUUACGCUAGGUAAGCGAUAUGUUUUAUCAUAUGAGUUUGUUUUCCAAAAUGGUAAAGGUUGACUGUAACAAGUAUCACUUGAACUAUAUCAUAUAUGCUAAAACAUAGCAAAUGUAAUAUUCAUCAAUAAUCUUUGGAACAAUAUUUAUGAUUGAUAAACAUAAAUACAUAUUGAUAUUCGAUAAUCUAUCAAGAUGAAAACCAAUUUAGUUCUUUCUUAUUUUAGGCCAAUGGACUGAUAAAAAAGAGCCAUGGAUAGAAAAAACAAAAAUAACGAGUAAACGAAGGUGAUGUUUACGAUAACUGGAAACAAUGUAACGUACUAUAAAAUCAGAUACUUUGCUAAUACCAUAUCAGAUACUACUUGGUCUAAUUUCAAGCCGACGAUAACGACAAACGACUUAUUUGUUAUCAAAUCAUUAAUUCAAAACCACUUGUUCUCAUUUACUCAAUAAAUUUC